rnacentral:lncRNA from 7 species
GGAAUGUUAUAAGGGAAGAAGGAAGAUUGAACUGGCAAGACUUUUUUAGCAGUGUUUUGACAGAAGCAAUAGGAGUUAAAUCUUGCAGAAGAGUUUUCUAUCUGGUGUGUAACCACUUGGCUGGGCAGAUUGCUUUUCCUGAAUGCCUUAGAGAUUGCGUCUACCCUAAUCAAACUGAACACUAAUAGUUGCUAUCUGCCAACAACUACAAAGCAUGUUUUGUGGGAUUUACUGUGGCCUUUCUCAGAGGAAGAAGGUCAUGGACAUUAAAGACCUCAAGUCCUGUGGCUAAAUCAGUGUUGUUCAUCUCCUGAAUUCCUUUAAUUGCUUGCUUCUACUGGAGUCAAAUAGGGUAUCCUCAACCUCCAAUUUAUGGCUUUGUGUUUAUUCUUUAGUGCUUAUUUCUCAGGCAGCUCCUCAUCCCAUCUGAUCCCUUCAUCCUGUUUUUGUCAUCUGUUCUUAACACACAUCAGAAUUAGUCUGUAAUUCUAGGUAGGAAACUUGUCUUUAUCUGCCUAAUUUUUUGGAUUCUUCUGAUGCAAACUUAAGCAUAGAGCUAGUGUUAAGGACAGACAAAUCUACUUUUAGGUGAGAGAUACUUUUGUGUUAAGGUUUUUUGUUUAAUUUCAGUUUCUGCCUCAGUGUUUUUAGUGUCAUCUUUUUCUGUCAAGAAAAAUCAAGUUGAAGCAACAUGACAGAAUGCAAAUCAGCAGCAGUAUACUCUUUUAAAAUGUGUAAUAGCUAAAAGCAUGAGGUUCAACAUUUUUAGUUGCUGUACUAUUUCAUUCUAUGAAUUCCUAUCAAGAACUAAUAUUUAAAAGUGUAAAUGAGAGGAAAAAAUAGAUUGCAUUUACUAUGUGUCUUUUUAAUAUGCAAAACUGAGUGUGAACAGAGAAAAAGAUUUAUAAUUAGAUAAAUGAAUCAUUCUUGAUGCAUUAGGAUAUGACUUGUGCUUAAGUAAUUCCAGAUAGAAUGAUGUCCCUCUCAGUUAUGUAGAAAGCAAGAAAAAAGUGCUGUGGAUGAAAUUCUAAUAGUUCUAAUGUUGAGCCAAUAUAAACCAAUGUCUCAGACUGUAUGCCACUUGAACUCAAAAGCAGGCAUUCACUUUUCCUUUUCCUAAGAAUAGCAUUUGCCUGAUAUAAAAAGUUAACUCAAGAAAAACAAGAAAAAAAGGGGGGGGGGGGAGGUGUUCACCUGAAUCUUGAUGGUAUCAAGUUGUGCAACGUGGAAGGACUGUGAAUGGCUGUAUUCCAGGGUGCUGAGCUGUAACCUUGCACUGUACCUGAAUGCAGAAUAGCCAGAUGCUGCCCUUUCUGUGACUGCCUCUAUCACAGACUGCUGAGAACAGAUCCAUGCUCACCUUGAUGAGCACAGAGGUAUCUGUGUGCCUAGACAAACUAAUGCUGAUGCUACUAGAGGACAUCUGAGGACAUCUGCAGCACCUAGAUACUGAGGAAACAGCAGUGGCUAGGGAAAGCCCAUGGAAUUCAGUUAUUUUCUGAUCUUGAAUGAUUAAGUAGGCUAUUUGAAUCUUAUUUUAACAUAGUUUUUGUUUUUCUCCUUAAUCAAGUAUUAUAUACUCCUCCAGCU